UGCCAGCCGCCGCGGUAAUACGGAGGGGGUUAGCGUUGUUCGGAAUUACUGGGCGUAAAGCGUACGUAGGCUGAUUUGUAAGUUGGAUGUGAAAUCCCAGAGCUUAACUCUGGAACUGCAUCCAAAACUACAUUUCUUGAGUUUGGUAGAGGAGAGUGGAAUUCCUAGUGUAGAGGUGAAAUUCGUAGAUAUUAGGAGGAACACCAGUGGCGAAGGCGACUCUCUGGGCCAAUACUGACGCUGAGGUUCGAAAGCGUGGGUAGCGAACAGGAUUAGAAA
rnacentral:rRNA from 1 species